GAUGAACGCUAGCGGCAGGCUUAAUACAUGCAAGUCGAACGGAUAUAUGUUUUUCGGAAUAUAUAUUAGUGGCGCACGGGUGAGUAACACGUACAUAACUUGCCCUCAAGCGGGGGAUAGCCUUGGGAAACUGAGAGUAAUACCCCAUAGAAUUAUUGGACGGCAUCGUUUGAUAAUUAAAACUACGGUGCUUGGGGAUAGAUGUGCGUCUGAUUAGCUAGUUGGUGAGGUAACUGCUCACCAAGGCGACGAUCAGUAGGGGGCGUGAGAGCGUGGCCCCCCACACGGGUACUGAGACACGGACCCGACUCCUACGGGAGGCAGCAGUAAGGAAUAUUGGUCAAUGGAGGGAACUCUGAACCAGCCAUGCCGCGUGAAGGAUGACGGCCCUCUGGGUUGUAAACUUCUUUUGGAUGGGGCGAAAAACGGGAUUUAUCCUGGACUGACGGUACCAUCAGAAUAAGCACCGGCUAACUCCGUG
rnacentral:rRNA from 1 species